GGGCCGGUGUUGCAGUGGUAGCAUUCUAGACUUCGAGGUCGUGAAAACUGGAGUUUCAUCUAGCGGUCGCGGGUUCAAAUCCCGUCCGGCCUUUCA